GAAUCGGUGGCUCAAUGUCCAACCCUCAUUGUACAGCAUGAGACUCUUAAAUCUCAGGGUCAUGGGUUCGAGCCCCAUGCUGGGCA